UGGAAAGCAGGCACUCUACAGAAAUCCCAUAAAAGAAGCUGCCAUAUUUCUGGACACAAAGCAUCCCGAUCAUUACAGAGUUUACAAUCUCUGCAGUCAAAAAGGCUACGAUCCACUGUUCUUCCAUUACAGAGUGCAACGAGUGAUGAUUGACGACCAUAACGUACCGUCAUUAGACCAACCACUCGUUAGGACUCCCCCUAUCACUAGUAAUGCCCCAACACACCAGGAGGAUGAAGACUAGCACACUCUUUCUCCGAUACAUGUGAAGUCAGCCACCGCUUCUUUUCGAGCUGCUGCUGAUGCAGCAUUGCCAAGCAGCCAGCACAUUUGGAGGAAAGCGCAGCGGCAGGUGAACACGAGGAACCUGAGGAAAGUGGUGGGAAAUCUCGAGCCAGUGACAUGUUGAACUACACUGCCAGUUUGAGGGAAUGUCAUUGCCAUCCACUGCAAAGGAGGCAAAGGGCGCACGGGUACGAUGGUGUGUACAUGGUUGAUUGACAGCGUUUAGUUUGAGAGUGCGCAGGUGUGGGAAAGGGCAAUGGCAGUGAUCUGAAGGUGCGGAUCAUAGUGAAAAGAGAGCAGGUGUUCCAGUGUGUCUGUGCCACGCAGACGAACUGUAGGCUGUUCCCAGAUACUGAAAACAAUGCCGUGGUGAUCAGCUUUCAGGAAGGGCCAGUGGUUUGUGGUGAUGUUAAGGUCAUGUUUGAAUCCAGGGCUGGUCUUCCAAAGGGGUAUGAGGACUAUCCUUUCUAUUUCUGGUUCAACACUUCAUUUGUAGAGAACAACAGGCUCUAUCUGGCAAGGGAGGAACUGGACGACCCACGUAAGUCCAAAACCUGGGACAUCUACAAGGAGGACUUUGGUGUGACCGUGUCUUUCAGUGACCCUGCACUUAUGUAGCAGACGACACUUGCUUGUGUAUCUCAACUAAAACCCUUAAGCCCUGCACAAGGUCUAAAUAUUUGCUCUAAUGUAGGUUUUCACACACUUAUAAAAGGUGAGUGAUGUUUAGGGAUUGGAUUCGGGCAUAUUGUGCCCCUAAA